UAUAAACACGCUGAUCCAUCUUCCCCUAGCCUACCCAGUAACAUCACGUUAACCAGUACACGGAGCUCAGAUGGGAGGGCGCAACAGCCCCAGAUCGUGGCUGAUUUCAACAGAAAAACCACCCAACAGUCCAAGAGACGCAGCCGUGUCUACUCAUCCAGCCCACGCGGCACAACAUUGUGUCGGCGUCACCUGUUGUUUUCAUCGACACACGGAUUGAAAAACAAAUAUGAUGAAGCAAAAAAAAAAAAGCCUCCGAGUCAUAAAAGGAAAAAACGAAUAGCUGUUUAAAUCCCGACGGCGUCUACUGGAAAUUAAAUGACAAUCCCUUCCUCCUCUUCCUGCCUCGCCUGGGAGGUGGAGGGAAUGUUUAUCAUGUCGUCAUGUUGCCGUGAUUUGAGAGAGAGAGAGAGGAAAUAAAAGAUAUGUGACCUUACUUUUAGAUGAGGAGCAGGGCCGCUGCACAUUAAAUGUGUCACAUAGCAGAGGUCUGUUGGCUUCCCAACCUCCUGAGAGAAAACUUCGGUGCAGCAACAGGUGGCAUGUUUUUUCUUUUUUUUUUUUUUUCCCGGGCCGAGAUGCUGAGGAGGAGAUGGACGUGCAAGGAAGUAGGGCGUCAUUCAGCACCGAGACACUGGACAGCUCCCACGUCGAAGGGUUCGUUUCUCUUUAGCUGCGAUCGGAGUAACAGGUUUAUUCGUCGUUUUACAGCUCACAUUUUAAAUCAUGUCAACGUGUCCUGUGAAUAUUAACACAAUCUAAUGGUCAGCAUUCAAAUGUCCCUGCUGCUUGGAAACUAAAUGGACGAUUUUUGAGAGGCAGAUGCUUGAAUGUGAAGCAAAAAAAGUAUUUUUUUCAAUUGUCUUUAAUCAACACUAUACAGCAAAAUGACUCAAGUGAAUAUUAUUGAUUAUCUCCUCUUGGUCUAAAUAGAGUGUUGUCUCUGCUCAGCACUCCUCUUUUCUCUAGUUUACACUCACAGACCCCCCUUUCCCUCCUUCCUUGCUUCCUUCCUUCCUCUCACUAAACUGUCCCCAUCUUCCCAUCCCCCUCUUCCACUGACUCCCAGUCUUGUUGCAUAGCUACCAGCUCAGAAACAUACUGGAGAUGCAGGACAAUCCGUCUGUCUCUUUUCUCUGCCUCUUCCUCUUCCAGUCCAAAUGAGACUUAUUGGAAAGACGGCACAUAUCACUGAGUUGACGACCUGCAUUCACAUUUCCAUUUUCUCAUUCUAAAUGGGG